rnacentral:rRNA from 1 species
UACCAGCACCCCGAGUGGUCGGGACGUUUAUUGGGCCUAAAGCAUCCGUAGCCGGUUCUACAAGUCUUCCGUUAAAUCCAACUGCUUAACAGGUGGGCUGCGGAAGAUACUAUAGAGCUAGGAGGCGGGAGAGGCAAGCGGUACUCGAUGGGUAGGGGUAAAAUCCGUUGAUCCAUUGAAGACCACCAGUGGCGAAGGCGGCUUGCCAGAACGCCGCUCGACGGUGAGGGAUGGAAAGGCUGGGGGAAGCAAACCGGG